AAAGUUGUUGCAGUUAAAAAGCUCGUAGUUGGAUUUCGGGACGGCACGGUCGGUCCGCCGCAAGGUGUGUCACUGGCCGGGCUGUUCGUCCUCGCAAAGACUGCGUGUGCUCUUAGCUGAGUGUGCGCAGGACUUGCGACGUUUACUUUGAAAAAAUUAGAGUGUUCAAAGCAGGCCAUCGCUUGAAUACAUAAGCAUGGAAUAAUGGAAUAGGACUUUGGUUCUAUUUUGUUGGUUUCUGGAACCGAAGUAAUGAUUAAGAGGGACAGUUGGGGGCAUUCGUAUUUCGUUGUCAGAGGUGAAGUUCUUGGAUUUACGAAAGACGAACUACUGCGAAAGCAUUUGCCAAGAAUGUUUUCAUUAAUCAAGAACGAAAGUUAGAGGAUCGAAGACGAUCAGAUACCGUCCUAGUUCUAACCAUAAACGAUGCCGACUAGGGAUCAGAGAGUGUUAUUGGAUGACCUCUUUGGCACCUUAUGGGAAACCAAAGUUUUUGGGUUCCG
rnacentral:rRNA from 1 species